CCUACGGGAGGCUGCAGUGAGGAAUAUUGGUCAAUGGGCGGGAGCCUGAACCAGCCAAGCCGCGUGAGGGAAGAAGGUACAGCGUAUCGUAAACCUCUUUUGUCAGGGAACAAAGUCUGGGACUAGUCCCCGGAUGAGGGUACCUGAAGAAAAAGCAUCGGCUAACUCCGUGCCAGCAGCCGCGGUAAUACGGAGGAUCCGAGCGUUAUCCGGAUUUAUUGGGUUUAACGGGUGCGCAGGCGGCCUGUUAAGUCAGCGUGAAAAGCCCGGGGCUCAACCCAGGAGAGCCGUUGAAACUGGCGGUCUGGAGUGGGAGAGAAGUACGCGGAAUGCGUGGUGUAGCGGUGAAAUGCUUAGAUAUCGCGCAGAACCCCGAUUGCGAAGGCAGCGUACUGGAUCGAAACUGACGCUGAGGCACGAAAGUGUGGGUAUCGAACAGGAUUAGAUACCCUAGUAGUC
rnacentral:rRNA from 1 species